GGUGAAGGGCCAUGCCUCAGUAGUGGAGCAUCUGCUUGGCAUGCAGAAGGCUCCAGGUUCUAUCCCCAGUGGCAUCU